rnacentral:tRNA from 1 species
UGAUAUAGCUCAGUUGGUAGAGCGCCACCUUGGUAAGGUGGAGGUCACCAGUUCAAAUCUGGUUAUCA